ACAGCAGUCGCCGCGGUAAUACGAGGGGGGCAAGCGUUGUUCGGAAUUGUUGGGCGUAAAGGGUGCGUAGGCGGUUCAGCAAGUCUCGUGUGAAAUCUUCGGACUCAACCCGAAGUCUGCACGGGAAACUACUGGGCUUGAGUAAUGGAGAGGUGAGUGGAAUUUCCGGUGUAGCGGUGAAAUGCGUAGAUAUCGGAAGGAACACCUGUGGCGAAAGCGGCUCACUGGACAUUUACUGACGCUGAUGCACGAAAGCUAGGGGAGCAAACAGGAUUAGAGACCCCAGUAGUCCCUGUCUCUUAUAC
rnacentral:rRNA from 1 species